rnacentral:lncRNA from 1 species
AAAUGAGUGAGGGUGCAUUUCUACUUACUUGUGCUUUACAGCUAGAUCUGUGUUUAAAGAGAAUAGUGUCUAGAAAGAAAAAAUUAAUCCUAAUUCCUCUCUCAGGAGUCUCUAGACAGAGCCAGCUGCAAAGGAAGAUUGAUUGGAAAAUCAGGACUAGCACAUCAAGGCGUUGCCUAACCCACGUUAACUCCUCUUGGGGUACAGUGGCCACAUGGACACAAAACUGAGGAACCACUCACUGGCUGCCUGGGCCAAAAUGAACUCCUUGGGGGCAUUUUAUAGAGGCCUGGAUUUCUGGAAAAAAAUGUCACAGUAUUGUGAAAUCAGGAAGGGAAGAGCACCUUCCAGAAAAGCUGAAGAGUAGUGUUGAGAAAGAGUGUGGGAAGUCAGAGACCUGAGCUACAGCAGGAUGAUGUGGACAAUGCCAGGUAGCCUCUGCUUGCUGCUUGAGCUUGCAGGUCUGCCCCUGAAUGGCACCACCUGCAGCAGUGGAACUUCAACGUGCAGACUUUGCAGGUGCCUGGUUUCAGGAAUGUAAGGAGAAUUGAGCCAUGGAAUGAAUUUGUGGCUGCUUGGCACGAUAAUGGGAGCAGGAUCAAACUUCUCUCUUGUUCAAGAUGAACACAGAAGAGAAGGGGGGAAGAAAGCAAAUGUGCUCAUAAGUGCACAGUGAAGCCUGAAGUAAGUGCACUGGAUGAGGAAGGGAAUCUAUUUGCACUGUUUAGCUGUGUGUGGUUGUGUAUGUCUAGUAAUUGGGAAAUUGGGAUGUCUUUCCUUAAGAGCUAGUUAAAUGAAAGGCAGCAGCUGCAGAAAGAACGUGUGCAGAGACUUGAAGAGGAGGAGGGUAGAGGUUGGGUUUGCCAGUGCUCUGUGGAGCGAGGGAAUUACUAAUAGGAAAGCAGAUUUCUGGAGACAUUUAGGACAGUUUUGCCUUCCUGCUAUCAGAUGUUUCAAGCCUGAGGAAGCCAGCCAGAUACAGGAAAAGGACAAAGAAUACGGAGAAGGUAAACUGCUGUAUGAAGUGUGAACAGCUCAUCUUCCCUUAACACAGCCCAUUUUACCACUGGAUCCAUCUUUUCUUUCAACAGCCUUUCCCACUGCUUAGUCCUCUUCUUGUUUUGCCUCUUUUCUUAGCCUGGUUAUCAGCAAAGUCAUUGCUGAUAAAAUCUGACUGGCAUGGAAGGUGUUGGCUGUGUGACUUGAGGACUGGAGGCUGAGUCAUGAACAGGUGUGUUAAGCAGAAAAGCCUCAGUGUUCAAGAGGGGAGGAGCAGGUUUUGGUUGUUUUAUUUUGGAUAUAUCUUGCUUUAGAAGAAGAACCUCUCCUGCUUCUCCAGAUGGCCUGGGAGUCAUGGUAGUGUCUUACUGACGUGUCAGGCUUUAGGAAGCCUGAGCAGGGAGUUACACUGAAUUUAGAGAAAAAAGGUAUUUGGGGUGGUGGGGUGGAGCCUAUUUUUGAGUUUAGGCAGUUUAGGGCUCUUUGUUUUGGCUUGCUGAUGGAAUGAGAAUGAGAAG